AUCGUAACUCCUACGGGAGGCAGCAGUAGGGAAUCUUCCGCAAUGGGCGAAAGCCUGACGGAGCGACGCCGCGUGAGUGAUGAAGGUCUUCGGAUCGUAAAACUCUGUUAUUAGGGAAGAACAAAUGUGUAAGUAACUAUGCACGUCUUGACGGUACCUAAUCAGAAAGCCACGGCUAACUACGUGCCGGCAGCCGCGGUAAUACGUAGGUGGCAAGCGUUAUCCGGAAUUAUUGGGCGUAAAGCGCGCGUAGGCGGUUUCUUAAGUCUGGUGUGAAAGCCCACGGCUCAACCGUGGAGGGUCAUUGGAAACUGGGAAACUUGAGUGCAGAAGAGGAAAGUGGAAUUCCAUGUGUAGCGGUGAAAUGCGCAGAGAUAUGGAGGAACACCAGUGGCGAAGGCGACUUUCUGGUCUGUAACUGACGCUGAUGUGCGAAAGCGUGGGGAUCAAACAGGAUUAGAAACCCCGGUAGUCCUAGAGC
rnacentral:rRNA from 1 species